CCAGGGGGCCGGGCAGUCGCGUCGGAGCGUUCGCGCUUCGCCGAGGAAAGUCCGGACUCCAUGAAACAAGGGUGGCGGGUAACGCCCGCCGGACCGUGGCCGACGCUGCGGUUCAGGGACAGUGCCACAGAAAGCAGACCGCCGAUGACGCGAGCCUUUUCAAGGACUUGGCGAACAGGCAAGGAUGAAAGGGUGCGGUAAGAGCGCACCGCGCGGGCAGUAAUGUACGCGGCAUGGCAAACCCCACCCGGAGCAAGGCCGAAUAGGGGCGGCGCGCCGCGAGGCAGGGAUGUUUCAUCCCGAGCACGCCCGGGUUGGCUGCUGGAGCGGGAAAGCGAUUUUUCGCCUAGAGGAAUGGCUGCCCCUCCCGUGGCAGGUCGCUAAGGCGAUACCGCAUGGCGAGGACAGAAUCCGGCUUACAGGCCCCCUGGCAUC
rnacentral:RNase_P_RNA from 1 species